UACGUAGGGUGCAAGCGUUGUCCGGAAUUAUUGGGCGUAAAGAGCUCGUAGGCGGUCUGUCGCGUCGGCUGUGAAAACCCGGAGCUCAACUCCGGGCCUGCAGUCGAUACGGGCAAACUGGAGUACUGCAGGGAGACUGGAAUUCCUGGUGUAGCGGUGAAAUGCGCAGAUAUCAGGAGGAACACCGGUGGCGAAGGCGGGUCUCUGGGCGAGUAACUG
rnacentral:rRNA from 1 species